GGAUUUUACAUGCUGCUUAACGAACAUAUCUAUAGAAAAUUAUUGCAUAUAGAUUAAUUUUUUAAAAAUAAUUAAUAUUUAAAGUAUAUUAAUUUUUGAUAGAGAAGGUCCCAUUUUUUUAUUUGGUCCGAGGUCUAAAAAAAUGUUAGGACCCGCUCUGCCAAACGACUCUUUAAUAAUAGUUUGAUCUUUAAUCAUGCAC
rnacentral:lncRNA from 1 species